rnacentral:rRNA from 7 species
GGGAAACCGAGUCUUAAUUGGGCGUUAAGUUGCAGGGUAUAGACCCGAAACCCGGUGAUCUAGCCAUGGGCAGGUUGAAGGUUGGGUAACACUAACUGGAGGACCGAACCGACUAAUGUUGAAAAAUUAGCGGAUGACCUGUGGCUGGGGGUGAAAGGCCAAUCAAACCGGGAGAUAGCUGGUUCUCCCCGAAAGCUAUUUAGGUAGCGCCUCGUGAAUUCAUCUCCGGGGGUAGAGCACUGUUUCGGCUAGGGGGCCAUCCCGGCUUACCAACCCGAUGCAAACUGCGAAUACCGGAGAAUGUUAUCACGGGAGACACACGGCGGGUGCUAACGUCCGUCGUGAAGAGGGAAACAACCCAGACCGCCAGCUAAGGUCCCAAAGUCAUGGUUAAGUGGGAAACGAUGUGGGAAGGCCCAGACAGCCAGGAUGUUGGCUUAGAAGCAGCCAUCAUUUAAAGAAAGCGUAAUAGCUCACUGGUCGAGUCGGCCUGCGCGGAAGAUGUAACGGGGCUAAACCAU